GGGAAUUUUGCUCAAUGGGCGCAAGCCUGAAGCAGCAACGCCGCGUGGGGGAUGACGGCCUUCGGGUUGUAAACCUCUUUUCCCGGGGACGAUAAUGACGGUACUCGGGGAAUAAGUCACGGCUAACUACGUGCCAGCAGCCGCGGUAAUACGUAGGUGACGAGCGUUGUCCGGAUUUACUGGGCGUAAAGAGCGCGCAGGCGGUCGUACAAGUCGAGUGUGAAAUCCCCCGGCUCAACUGGGGAACGUCGCUCGAUACUGUUCGACUUGAAGGCGGGAGAGGGAAGCGGAAUUCCCGGUGUAGUGGUGAAAUGCGUAGAUAUCGGGAGGAACACCAGUGGCGAAAGCGGCUUUCUGGCCCGUUCUUGACGCUGAGGCGCGAAAGCUAGGGUAGCAAACGGGAUUAGAUACCCCGGUAGUCCUAGCCGUAAACGAUGGACACUAGGUGUUGGUGGUAUCAACCCCGCCAGUGCCGAAGCUAACGCAUUAAGUGUCCCGCCUGGGGAGUACGGCCGCA
rnacentral:rRNA from 1 species